rnacentral:lncRNA from 1 species
CCAACAUAUAGAAAGGCAUGCUGAUUGACUCAAAGUUUUGUUUCAGUAAAUUAUGGUUGAUUAUACAAACGGUUUUCCUUAGUUGAGACAAUUCAGAGUUCAUCAAAAUCAUCAUAUGAAGUCCAUCAUCAAUGGUAUUACCAUUCCAUCCCGUGUCCCUUCGGGAAAUAGCUACAGUUAGAGAUCAGGAUAUAUGGCCAUGAACUGCCUCAGUACUGGCCCCUGAAAUAUCUAUAAAUAGUAUAUCUCAGAUGUGAAUCCAAGUAAUGGUAGAUUUUGCCCUGAGAAUUCCAUUCGAGGUAAUCGUAUAAAACCUAUCAAUCAACCAACAAACAAAAAUACAGUGAAUGCUAUUUUACCUACAAAUAGAAAAUCUGUUGUAGGACUUUUUCAUGGUGAACAUAUCCUGUCUUUUUUGCAUUCUUUCUAUCACAGAUUGAGGCACCCAACCGCAGUGGCCAAGCUGAGGUGAGAGCUGCUGCUCUGCACAGAGAACAGUGACACUCGCCUCUCACCAGCCCCGAGGCCCACGCCCCCAGGUACCUCUCCCAGAUGGAAUCAUCUUCGCAGGCGCCCCGGUCGUCCGUGUCCGGCGAGCAGGAAGAGCGGGAGCUGAAGGACGGCCUCCUCAGGCUAGCGGCCGUGGCUGUGGAGGGCCCGGGCUGCUGUGCCCAGCGGGGACACGGAGCGGCGUCCACGGACGCCGGGGGAACGGACGAGCCCGGCCCGGGAGAGAGCAGCACAGCGCGGCCGGACUCCGCCGGGCUCGGCUCUGGGCAGGCAGGCGCGGCUCGCCCACGCCUCCCACGCCUCCCAGGACGGCGGCCCAGCAGCCGCGCGCUCCUCUCCUCGCGCGCACGCAUGCGCCGCCGCCCAGACGCUGCCCGGCCGUUGCCCCGCCCCCACUCUGGCGGUGGACUGCGGACAGCGACGGGGACACCCUCCUGGCAGAACUCCUGCGGCCCCGCCCACACGCUGCUUAGGACCUCCGCGGAGCGGCAAGGUGCGCUGACAGGGACGCAGGGUCCCCGCUACGCUCUCUCUCGGGGAACUGCAGCCUCCUCGGGUUUGACUUGAAUGUCACACCCGAAACCACGCAACGCCUACAAGAAAACAUAGGCAGUAUGCUCUUUGACAUCAGUCUUAGCAGCCUAUUUUCAAGUACCACGUCUGACUGGGCAAUGCAAACAAAACACAAAAGGAACAAAUGGGACGGCAUCAAAGUAAAAGAAAUCUUCUGCACGGCAAAGGAAACCAUCCACAAAACCAAAACACAACCUAACAACCGGGAGAACAUACUUGCAAACCAUAAAUCGGAUAAGGGGUUUAUAUCCAAAAUACAGACAGAACUCACACAGCUCAACAACAACAAAAAGCAACAACCCACAUAAGAAGACGGGCUAAAGAUCUGAGCAGUGAUCUCUCCAAAGAAGACAUACGGAUGGCCAACCGGCCUAUGGAAAGGGGCUCCACGUCUUUAGCCAUCAGAGAAAGGCAAAUCAAAACUACAAGGAGAGGUCACCUUACUCUGCUCAGAAUGGCUCUAAUUAACGAGACAAGACACAGUGUGGGAGAGGAUGUGGAGAGAAGGGAACUCUCCUACACUGCUGGUGGGAGUGCAGACUGGUGCAGCCACUAUGGAAAGCAGUAUGGAGUAGCCUCGGAAAACUAAGAAU